rnacentral:lncRNA from 1 species
GUAUAUGUAAGUAAUUUUUUAGGUAAACUUUAAAUACCAUCUUGUAGUUUUGCUCUUUUUCAUUUUAAUGUUACGUGAUUUAAAGUGUAUCAAUUUAGUACUCUAUGAUUUUAUUUUUCUCUUUUCGUCAACCCUUCUAUUAAAUUUUCUUUAAACCAUAUAGAAAAAACUUUAGAUACCCAUCUAUAGUUUAUCGAAAAUUUAUUUUAGUACUCUUUAGUUUUAACUUUGCACUAAUUUAACAAAAAAAUUAGUGAAAAUGAAUAAUAAAAAGCGAAAAAUAAAAAAUAAUAAGGUACGAAAGUGAUACACUUUAAACCAUAUGGUACUAAAGUGAGAAAGUACGAAACUACAGAAGUGAUAUUUAAAGUUUUUUCUUCUUUUUUUAGUGAAAGCUAGUAUGCUAUCCGCUUCGUUUGUUUUUUUUUUAAAAAAAAAACUCAGAUAAAAAUGUGAAGCACUUUUAGGCUUUGAACAAAAAAUUUCAAGUACUAACCGCUAAAUUUUUUGCCACUUGUGUUUGAAACGGUCAGUGUAGAUAAGUAUAACUAAAAGGAAUAAUAGUAAUAGAACCAAAAUAGCUGACCUUUUCAUCUACUCAAUCGUUUACUUUGGUGUACAACAAGUAGCAUUUUUCAGAAUCAUUACUUUGCAGCUUCUACUUUGUCUGC